rnacentral:tRNA from 1 species
AUUUAGAAAGCUCUAAGAGUUUUUCGUUGAAGUUGAAAAGGUGUAUUUUACUCUAAAUA